UACUCCUACGGGAGGCAGCAGUAAGGAAUAUUGCGCAAUGGGCGACAGCCUGACGCAGCGACGCCGCGUGGGGGAUGAAGGUCUUCGGAUUGUAAACCCCUUUCGGCAGGGAAGAUGGAACGGGAAACCGUUCGGACGGUACCUGCAGAAGCAGCCACGGCUAACUUCGUG
rnacentral:rRNA from 1 species